UUUCCAAUUUACUGCUGACGCUGCAUAUGUUGACGCAGGGCCGUGGUGCCAACAUUGACACCCUGGCCACGCUUCAACUUCUGCCCACAAAUUUGACAAAUGGUCAUGUUCACCUCCCCCGGC